rnacentral:lncRNA from 1 species
ACCACUUAAAAGAACCAGUUUAGGGCUAACACUGAUGUUAACCCUAAGGAAGAAUGCAAAGCUGUGUUGGCAAGUGAUAGAAGAAGGGCUGAAAGGGAAGUUGUAGAGAUUGGAAGCAGAUGAAAAGGAGGAAGAGAAGCCAUUGAGAUUAGGAGCAGUGAAGGGGAAGAAGAAGAGGAAUCAAGAGUUAGUCAUAAUGAGCAGGAAAGAGAAAUUUAUAAUCAAAUGAAUAUUGUGCCUUCAAUUAUUAAACAGAUUCCUGCAAGGAUGAAAUUUUAUCUUGGAGAUAUGAUAGAUUUUGAUGAAGAUGAUGAUGAGCAGGAAUUUGAGAUUCAACCUCUGAAGAAUUAUCUGCUUAAAGUAAAAGAUCCAGGUUGCUUGAAUUUGGCAU